rnacentral:rRNA from 1 species
UACGUAGGGCGCAAGCGUUAUCCGGAAUUAUUGGGCGUAAAGAGCUCGUAGGCGGUUUGUCGCGUCUGCCGUGAAAGUCCGGGCUCAACUCCGGAUCUGCGGUGGGUACGGGCAGACUAGAGUGAUGUAGGGGAGACUGGAAUUCCUGGUGUAGCGGUGAAAUGCGCAGAUAUCAGGAGGAACACCGGUGGCGAAGGCGGGUCUCUGGGCCGAUGACUGACGCUGAGGAAGCGAAAGCGUGGGGAGCGAACAGG